rnacentral:rRNA from 1 species
GUAGGUGGCAAGCGUUGUCCGGAAUUAUUGGGGCGUAAAGCGCGCGCAGGCGGUUCUUUAAGUCUGAUGUGAAAGCCCACGGGCUCAACCGUGGAGGGUCAUUGGAAACUGGAGAACUUGAGUACAGAAGAGGAAAGCGGAAUUCCACGUGUAGCGGUGAAAUGCGUAGGGAUGUGGAGGAACACCAGUGGCGAAGGCGGCUUUCUGGUCUGUAACUGACGCUGAGGCGCGAAAGCGUGGGGAGCAAACAGGAUUAGAUACCCUAGUAGUCCACGCCGUAAACGAUGAGUGCUAAGUGUUAGGGGGUUUCCGCCCCUUAGUGCUGCAGCUAACGCAUUAAGCACUCCGCCUGGGGAGUACGGCCGCAAAGGCUGA